ensembl:lncRNA
GGAUAUGUAGCCACUUUUACUGAUGACUGAUGAUUUAGGCACGCUAUCAUGAAGUCUAAUUAAUAUUCAACGGGUCUCUCUUUGUGCUCUUUCCAGGAGGCCUCCACCCUUAUAGAGAAAGCAGGUGUGGAGGAGAGAAAGCUGUUUAUCUCCACCAUCACUGAGACUCCAGCUGAAAAUAAGGACAAUGAGAUGAGGGGGGAAAAAGAAAACCCUCCACCUGCUCCCAUCCUACUCUCAAGAACUGACCACUCCUUAACCUUUGUCCCAGCACCUUAUAACUUGGGGCGACAAGUGAGAUUUGCUUUUAAUUGUGUUCUUAAUUUACUAAUCUGACCAGAAGCAAAUAAUCCAUCACAAUCUCUAUACAUUUCAUUUUUCUCUUUCCACUUGUGUCUUUCCAGGUGUGCUGGUACCAGCUCUGCGGCCGUACAGCUGAGGGAAUUAACUGGAAAGUCCGUCUUGGAGAUUGCAGCCUGCCAGGAACUGGAAAUAUGGUACAAUUGAUCUUUCUCAGAACAGGAUCAGACACAUUUUUGUCGUCUUGUAUGAGCCGGUGCAUUAGGUCUGAUUUUAUUUGUGUUAAGGUACCAGCAGUAUCUGGUGAGUGUGUGUUGAAAGUUGAAGGGCUGGAGCCCAAUCAGAAGUAUGUGUUUGCUGUAGCAGCCUACGACAGCCAGGGAAAACUGCUGGGCGACACAAUAGGAGGGACAACAUUCCCACUGCUGGCAUCCAUGCCAGUACCUCUGCUGUCCACGUGGGCUCACCUGGCACAGGUAGCAUUUCAAACAGAGCAGUAUGCCAUUGCAAAGAGAGCCUGCAGUGAACUGUGGAGCCACUAUGCCCUGCCCGAGCCCAGUUCCCACAGCGCACAGGACAGACUCGCUGCUACGGGGUGAGGAGGAGGGCACAUUCAUACUGUUCAAGUCAAGGAGUUUGUAUCUGUGUGCAUUUACUAACCUCUUUUUAAUCUAUCCUAUUUUGUCAUACUGAAGGCUGCGUGUCCAGACCCUGCAACAUUCCUCUGCUCAUCUGUGUCAGUUGUUCCUCACUUCAAUCUUCAUUAAGACAGAGAUUAACAUUCAGCAGGGGGCAGAAUGUGACUCAUUCAGUCAGCCGUUUAUCUGGGAACAGGUAAAAAUAGAAUCUGAACAGAGACGUGUACAGUAAGUGUGUACAGUGAUGUUAUCCAAAUUGAAUGACAGUAACAUACAAAAAGUUAGGCUAAACAGUUUGUUGGAAGUAACUUGAACAUAAAUAAAUGAUAUGUUCAUGUAUGUAUGCAGGAAGCCAGACUGGCUGAAUGUGAGCAAAUGCUGGUGACCAUGGACCUUGCACUGUGGUUGAAUGACGGUAGCACUGCCGUGAAAGCUGUAGUUAACUGUUACAGCCUCUUAGCACCACUAAUCUUCCAUCAGAUCACCUGUGACUCUGUGGUGCAGGUAUGUAAAACCUUACUCAUACAAGUCUUAAUAUUCUGUGACAUAAUAGAUAGCUUUAAUAAUACACAUGUUUAUGCCUCUGUCUGUGUCAGGUGUUAAACAAAUGCCUGAUAGUUCUGGAGGUGAAUUCAGGUAUUCUCAAGCAGAAAUGGACUGGAUGCACCUCAGAGUCACUUAUGCACAUGAUAGCCUGCAUCACCUACUACCUGUCGAAGGUGUGUCUGCACGCAUAUAAUGUUCAGGUUAUACUGUAAAUGACAUUUCUUGAAAAUGGGAGCGCUGCAUGCAGGAAAUAUCAUAUCAUAAACUCUUAA